UGCCCGGUCGUUCAAUGGUAGGACGGAUGACUCUGGAUCAUCUGAUCCUGGUUCGAGUCCAGGCCGGGCAG
rnacentral:tRNA from 1 species